UUAGCACAAAACAUAACUUAGUUCAGUAAUCAGGCGCUGUUUGACGGGCUUUUUAGAGCACGCGCUUUGGGUGUAUGCGCUCAGAAAAGGCGCUCGUCAGAACAGCACACUGAGUGAAACGUUUAACCAGAUGAUGUGGAUAUAAAGCCUCUGCCAUCGCACUUCCUCAACCACCAUCAUCUUUCUGGAGUUGUGAUGUGACCCCAGACCAAAGCUGCCUCUUCCUUUUGGAUGUUUCUAUGCCUCAUGGUUUAUGCUGCCUGCUGCAUGACGUCGGAUGGGAUCCACUUUUGUCCGGUUGAUAAGGUCAUUGUGGCUCUUCUUGGUCAUAGGCUUGUUAUGGCCUGUUUGGGGUUGAUGCUGAUGGAAAAUCCCAAUUAAAGUAAUGAUACUCUCAGAGGAAAACAGGAAAUUCUCAACAACAUACAGAGAACAGAAGAUGCAGAAAGAGCUAUUUUGCACAUUAUAGCAAAACGAUAAUAAAAAAGCAAACACUUUGAGCAAAUGGGAAGUGGGGACAAUUUGGGGUCUGGUUUGUUAAUUAGUUUGCAGUUGUUCUUUUCCACUCUGUACACAGAAAAACAUUCAAACUGCACAGUACAGACACACUCC